CAAGACGCUGAUCAUGUGAUGAGUUUGCAAAUCAAAUGCCCACUUGUGCUACCAUUGGACAGCGAAAAACAAGUUGUAACCAACAUGCAGUAUCUCCAGCUGGAAGAGUGGCAAGAACCAUUCGUCCGCCAGCUCAGGGACAAGCUACACUAUUCACAACCCUAUGAAAUAUUCAAUGUAAAUGCAUUGCAAGACUUUUUGAAACUUCAUGUAUUUGUAUUAUUUUUUUAAAAUUACAAAUAAAAGGAAAUGUAUGGUUUA